rnacentral:miRNA from 10 species
CGGGGUUUCUCUGAGCAUUUUC